GCUUUGAUAGCUCAGUUGGUAGAGCAUCUCAUUCGUAAUGAGAGGGUCGCCGGUUCGAGUCCGGCUCGAAGCU
rnacentral:tRNA from 1 species